AUGGACUCAAUUCUUUAUAAUGGAACUUGGGAACUAACUGAUAGACCAUAUGGUUGUAAACCUGUGGGCUGUAAGUGGGUGUUCAAAAAGAAGCUAAAGCCUGAUGGUACUAUUGAUAAGUACAAGGCGCGGCUAGUGGCCAAGGGCUACACUCAGAAAGAAGGUGAAGAUUACUUUGACACCUAUUCACCCGUUGCUAGAAUGACCACCAUUCGAGUGUUACUUUCCUUGGCUGCCUCUUAUGGUCUUAUCAUUCAUCAAAUGGAUGUAAAGACAACUUUUCUCAAUGGAGAGUUGGAAGAGGAGAUCUAUAUGGAUCAGCCUGACGAGUUUGUGGUAAAGGGUGAAGAGAGAAAGGUGUGCAAGUUGUUAAAAUCUUUGUAUGGUCUGAAACAGGCACCUAAGCAAUGGCAUGAGAAGUUUGAAAGAACUUUGACUUCUGCAGGAUUUGUCAUUAACGAGGUUGAUAGGUGUGUUUACUAUCGCCAUGGUGGGGGCAAUAGUGUCAUAUUAUGUUUGUAUGUGGACGACAUACUAAUCUUUGGUACAAACAUUAAUGCAAUUAAUGAGGUCAAGUCUUUUCUAUCAAAAAGUUUUGACAUGAAAGAUCUGGGAGAAGCUGAUGUAAUUCUAAACAUCAAACUUAUUAAGGAUGAGAGUGGGAUUACAUUAACGCAAUCUCACUAUGUUGAGAAGGUCUUGAACCGAUUCGGUUUUAUGGAUAGCAAGCCUUCUCCAACACCUUAUGAUCCCAGCGUGACACUCAGAAAGAACAAGAAAGAAACGAGAGAUCAAUUAAGAUACUCUCAAAUUGUCGGUUCACUCAUGUACUUAGCUAGCACUACAAGACCAGAUAUCUCUUUUGCUGUGAGCAAACUGAGUAGGUUCAUGUCCAACCCGAGUGAUGAUCAUUGGCAUGCACUAGAAAGGGUCUUGCGCUAUCUGAGAGGUACUAUGAGUUACGGAAUUACUUAUUCAGGGCACCCUGCUGUGCUAGAAGGAUAUAGUGAUUCAAAUUGGAUCUCCAAUGUUGAUGUACUUUACGCAACAAGUGGGUAUGCAUUUACUCAUGGUGGUGGCGCAGUGUCAUGGAGGUCUUGUAAGCAAACCAUAUUGACGAGGUCAACUAUGGAAGCAGAAUUAACUGCUUUGGACACAACUACUAUUGAGGCAGAAUGGCUGCGUGAGCUCUUGAUGGACUUGCCGGUUGUUGAAAAACCUGUACCGGCUAUUCUUAUGAAUUGUGAUAACCAAACGGUUAUCGCUAAAGUGAACAAUUCUAAAGAUAAUGCAAAGUCAUCAAGACACGUGAAAAGACGUUUGAAGUCUGUCAGGAAGUUGAGAAACUCCGGAGUAAUAACUGUUACGUAUAUACAAAUAGACAAAAACCUGGCAGAUCCCUUUACAAAGGGACUAUCACGAAAUGUGAUAGAUAUUGCAUCGAGGGAGAUGGGUAUGAGACCCAUA
rnacentral:rRNA from 1 species